rnacentral:lncRNA from 1 species
AGGUUAUCUUAUGAUGAGGCUUUUGCUAUGGCUAAUGAUCCCUUGGAAGGCUUCCAUGAAGUAAACCUUGCUUCACCUACUUCUCCGGACCUUCUUGGCAAAUGCAUUAGAUGUUUCUGAACUUCCUACACAACCCGUGUAUUCAUCCCCCAGACGUUUAAAUUGUGCGGAAAUAUCUAGUAUCAGCUUUCAUGUUACAGACCCAGCCCCUUGCUCUACCUCUGGAGUCACAGCUGGAUUAACUAAAUUAACUACAAGAAAGGACAACUAUAAUGCAGAGAGAGAGUUUUUACAGGGUGCUACUAUAACAGAGGCUUGCGAUGGCAGUGAUGAUAUUUUUGGGUUGAGUACUGAUAGUCUGUCUCGUUUACGAAGCCCAUCUGUUUUGGAAGUUAGAGAAAAGGGCUAUGAACGAUUAAAAGAAGAACUCGCAAAAGCUCAGAGGGAACUGAAGUUAAAAGAUGAAGAAUGUGAGAGGCUUUCAAAAGUGCGAGAUCAACUUGGACAGGAAUUGGAAGAACUCACAGCUAGUCUAUUUGAGGAAGCUCAUAAAAUGGUGAGAGAAGCAAAUAUCAAGCAGGCAACAGCAGAAAAACAGCUAAAAGAAGCACAAGGAAAAAUUGAUGUACUUCAAGCUGAAGUAGCUGCAUUGAAGACACUUGUAUUGUCCAGUUCUCCAACAUCACCUACGCAGG